rnacentral:rRNA from 1 species
UUCCUACGGGAGGCAGCAGUGAGGAAUAUUGCGCAAUGGGGGCAACCCUGACGCAGCAACGCCGCGUGAGUGAGGAAGGUUUUCGGACCGUAAAGCUCUGUCGAGUGGGAAGAAAUGCAUGGUGGCUAAUAUCCAUCAUGCUUGACGGUACCGCUAAAGGAAGCACCGGCUAACUCCGUGCCAGCAGCCGCGGUAAUACGGGGGGUGCAAGCGUUGUUCGGAAUUAUUGGGCGUAAAGAGCGUGUAGGCGGCUGAAUCAGUCAGAUGUGAAAUCCCUGGGCUUAACCCAGGACGUGCAUUUGAAACUGUUCAGCUUGAGUAGGGGAGAGGAAAGUGGAAUUCCUGGUGUAGAGGUGAAAUUCGUAGAUAUCAGGAGGAACACCGGUGGCGAAGGCGACUUUCUGGCCCUAUACUGACGCUGAGACGCGAGAGCGUGGGUAGCAAACAGGAUUAGAUACCCUUGUAGUCA